rnacentral:misc_RNA from 1 species
UACGGAUUCGACAGGGAUAGUUCGAGCUCAGGCUGCGUGUCGAGGUUACGGCUCGUAAAACGUUACGCCUAAAUAUAACUGGCAAAACUAACAACAACUACUCUCUAGCAGCUGCGUAAGCAGCACUAGUGGAUCCUUGCUGCUAUCGCCCAUGUGGCAGAUUUGAGGGUCUCAAACUUAAGUGGGCUACGCCAUUAUUCUCGGCUUGCGGAUAAUCGGAAGAAGACAAUCAAGCUAGCCUCGCUGAAAGCCUGUCGUUAGGCCGAAGCGUGUGCGAACUAUAA